rnacentral:rRNA from 1 species
AACGAACGCUGGCGGCAUGCCUAACACAUGCAAGUCGAACGAGACCUUCGGGUCUAGUGGCGCACGGGUGCGUAACGCGUGGGAACCUGCCCUUAGGUUCGGAAUAACUCCCCGAAAGGGGUGCUAAUACCGGAUAAUGUCUUCGGACCAAAGAUUUAUCGCCUUUGGAUGGGCCCGCGUUGGAUUAGCUAGUUGGUAGGGUAAAAGCCUACCAAGGCGACGAUACAUAGCUGGUCUGAGAGGAUGAUCAGCCACACUGGGACUGAGACACGGCCCAGAAUCCUACGGGAGGCAGCAGUGGGGAAUAUUGGACAAUGGGCGAAAGCCUGAUCCAGCAAUGCCGCGUGAGUGAUGAAGGCCUUAGGGUUGUAAAGCUCUUUUACCCGGGAUGAUAAUGACAGUACCGGGAGAAUAAGCGCCGGCUAACUCCGUG